AUUGAACGCUGGCGGCAGGCCUAACACAUGCAAGUCGAACGAGUGGCGGACGGGUGAGUAAUGUCUGGGAAACUGCCUGAUGGAGGGGGAUAACUACUGGAAACGGUAGCUAAUACCGCAUACCCUCGGAUGUGCCCAGAUGGGAUUAGCUAGUAGGUGGGGUAAAGGCUCACCUAGGCGACGAUCCCUAGCUGGUCUGAGAGGAUGACCAGCCACACUGGAACUGAGACACGGUCCAGACUCCUCCGGAGGGCAGCAGGGGGGAAUAUUGCACAAUGCGCGCAAGCCUUAUGCAGCCAUGCCGCGUGUAUGAGGAAGGCCUUCGGGUUGUAAGGUACUUUCAGCGGGGAGGCGUUACCCGCAGAAGAAGCACCGGCUAACUCCGUGCCAGCAGCCGCGGUAAUUC
rnacentral:rRNA from 1 species